rnacentral:ncRNA from 1 species
AUCAUCAGUCCCUGCAUGCACAGGCUCUGUAACUUGGUCAUUUCACGAUUGUGGGUUUUUUCUAAGGCGAUGGGAAGUGAUCCUUGAUGAGUAAUUAAUCCAUCAUCUUGGCGGGCUCCAUCGUCUCACUCCUUAGGCCUCGAUUCGUACUCGAGGGCCCACUGCUUACAGGUUGCCUCUCUCCAGGAGAAGGGAAGCCUUGCUCUGAGCCCCUCAUACAGAAGCUCCGCUCUCAGGCUUGAGCUUCUUCUAAGGGAAGAUUUUCCCUUUUCCCAAUUGAACAGAACCUCUCAUAUUGCGCAUGCACAGUCCUCCGUGCCCCCUGAGAGCUUUCUCAUGAGGCCUAUUAUAAGCAGGCUUCAAAAUCAGAGAAUAUGGCUUACACAUGACUGUCUUGAAAAAAAAGAGAGAAAGCUGUCAGUUUCAUCUGGCGCGGUACCACUAGCCGCAACUGCCCUCCAAUGUUAGCAACCUCUGGCGGAUAGGAACACAGUAGCUAAGAAAAGUUGGCAGAAUGGAUCCGUAUCUUCGAGAGAAGAAUUGGAUCUGAGGGUUGGAUAUAUAUAUAUAUAUAUAUAUAUAUAUAUAUAUAUAUAUAUAUAUAUAUAUAUAUAUAUAUAUAU